UGCUGGGUCAUAGGGUAGACAUAAAAGAUGCUGCUGAUUUUCAAAAAUGAUUGUACCAACUUACACUCCCACCAGCAAUAUCUGCUUAUUCUAGUUGCUCCACACUCUCAUUAAUACUUUAUAUUAUCAGCUGUCCUAAUUUUAGCCAUUCUUGGAAGUGUAUAGUUAUAUAUCACUGUGGUUUUAAUUUGCAAAUUUAGUAUAUUAUUAAAGAAACCAAUGAAUUUAUAAGGCAGAGAAAUCAAGUUCUUUGUGCUGUUGCCCUUGUCAGGGAAGAAGAAACUGUCUUCUAUUCUCUAGGUUUUUCUGGAUGGUCUAAGAAUUAAAUUGACAUGUGACAUUAGCAGGAGAAAAUCAAGCAAAAGCUUAGUAGCAUCUGUAUGUUGAGGCUCAGAGAAGGUUACCCCAACAUAUGCAGCAAUAGCAUACUGAUUAUUUUGAAUUAAAGUUUCUUAACAGCCAUAGCAAGAGGGACACUGUGACCCUCCUUUCUGUCUCCCUGAAAGCAGGAAAUCAAUAUCCCUGUGAAAGGUGCCCUCCCUGCAUCUGGAGGUAGUGUGUUCUCAGAUGCUCAGUCGUGUCGGACUCUUUGCCACGCCAGGGACUGUAGCCCGCCAGGCUCCUUUGUCCACGGGAUUCUCCAGGAACUGUCUUUCAGGGCUGGUUUUGUUGAACGCUGUGUCCUACACCAUCUUCUCCACCAGGUGGCAGCACUAGAGCCCUAGGCACAGCCAUCAAUUCCCAGAGCCUUUCAGAUUACCACGAAGAAUUCUUUUCUCCCCUUUGUAUUACGUUUAAAGAACUCCCCCAAAGAACAAGCUUUGUUUUGUGUUUGUUUUUAGAGGAUAUAAGUUUCUCAUCCCCUGUCUUUCCAUAGGAGUCAAACCUUUAGUCCCCCAAAGCCAAAUCUGAGUCACAGCCACAGGGCUUGACCCUCUC